UGUUGGGGUAACGGCCCAACAAGCCUUUGAUCGGUACGGGUUGUGGGAGCAAGAGCCCGGAGAUGGAUUCUGAGACAUGAAUCCAGGCCCUACGGGGCGCAGCAGGCGCGAAAACUUUACAAUGCGAGCAAUCGUGAUAAGGAAACCCUGAGUGCCUGUCAAUGCAGGCUGUUCUGGUGUCUAACACACACCAGGAGAAAGGGCGGGGCAAGACCGGUACCAGCCGCCGCGGUAAUACCGGCUGCUCGAGUGAUAGCCACUUUUACUGGGCUUAAAGCGUUCGUAGCUUGGUCGUUAAGUCUCUGGGGAAAUCUUUUGGCUCAACCAAAAGGCGUCUCAGGGAAACUGACGAUCUUGGAACCGGGAGAGGCAAGACGUACUUCGGGGGUAGGAGUGAAAUCUUGUAAUCCCCGAGGGACGACCGAUGGCGAAGGCAUCUUACCAGAACGGCUUCGACAGUGAGGGACGAAAGCUGGGGGAGCAAACCGGAUUAGAU
rnacentral:rRNA from 1 species